UUUUAUUCUUUCAGGACUUGAUCCUACUCUCAGAUGUCAAUGGCUUAAAAGGGUAAGUCCUGUAAAGGUGAUAUGGACAGCAAAUAAGAGGAAAAUAUUUUUUUAAUCUUUCAUUUUGUUCCCUAUAUAAAUAAUCAGGAAUGAUGAAAAACUGCAUUUUGAACCAUUAGAGGCAUUCACCUUCAUUCAUCUCAGGGCAAUCCCUUUACUUGAUUUUAGGGCGGCACUGAUAGACUUCUAAAGGAAUUAGGUCUAGUUUAUUUCUGAUUCUUAAAAAGGUCUACUAAAUGGACUCCCUUUUUACUCCCUAUGGAGUAAAAAGCUGGGACAUACAGGAAUCCUCACUGCGCUAUCUUGGAUGCAGUUGAGCUGUCCAAUGUAAUUUUUUUUUCUUUAACCAUCAUUUUGCUUGUGAUUCUGAUUUCACAGCACAAGUUGCUAGCUGAAGGAUAUUUUGUAAUUCAUAUGGCAAUUUUAUACCUCUGUUCAGAUAUUCCACCUGGCAAAAAUGUUAACAAGACCAUUUUCAUUUUUAAAUCAGGAAAGCAUUUUCCAUGAUUGCCUGGAGAAAUGUCUCUUCUACUUAAAGAACUGAAGGAAAUAUACUUUGCUAUUCUGAGUAUAAACAUUCAUUAUUUUAAGGAAAUAUUGGGUGGUAUGUUAGAGCACUUUAGCAACAAAUAUUUUAAGUCUUGUAUUUAUUUUCUUUUUAUUGGAGACCCUAUGCUGAGGACAAAAAGUAAGCUUGUCUUUCUUUCCACUUUUCCAUCCAACAUUUAAUAUACAUGUUUUUUACUUAGAGGAGGUCACUUUGCUUGCACUUUGAGGAUUAAGGUAUGAUUACUCUGCAAGUGUAAUGCUUUACUAACAGCCCAAGUUCUUCAACCUUAUGUUUAGAGAGAUUAAAAUUAUUAUUUUUAUACUUUCCCAAACUGCAAUGUAUAAAUUGUAUAUUUAGUUUCUUUAAAGUACGUAGAAUUUUUUAUUGGUGCAGUUCAGCUGAUCUCCAGCACAUCUUCCAAACACAAACUUACCAUUAGCAUCAUUUACUUUCAUGGCUUUGAACACAAAUAUCUAAGAUUUCUGAGCACAGAGUCUAAGUAAAUAGAAGAAAUACAUGAUAGUGUCAUUUGUUGAGAGAGGCUAGUGUCUUUACAACAUCUCAGAAGAUAUGCUAAAGAUAUGCUAGUUACACUGAACUGGAACACAUGGACAAUAAGGUGUGUGACAGCUUCUGAAAAGUAGGUUCAAACACUGGAAUUUGUUUUGGCUCCUCUGGGUCAGCACACCUCGAUCAUUCCAGCUCUAUUUCUUUGAAGAGAACAUGAAUCUAACCUCCUGGUCACAUAAAGUCUGUGAUACUCUCCUCCAUGAGCACUCUGCUGCUUGCUCCCUCACUCAUCCUGGCAGUGGAACAAUUCUGGCCUUAACUGCUUACAAAGGAAAUUGAAAGGCAUUCUGCUUUAAAGAGGAAGAUCACUCAAGGGGUAGUCUGUAGCAGAUAAUUGAGAAAUUUUUUUGAAGGAAACUAAAUAACUGAGGUUAUUGGUGAUGUAUUGGUGAUGUAUUGUUCACAAAUUCAAAUCUAAGCCACACUGUUACAAGUAAGUGUAAUUUAGUAUUCUGUGUGAGAUUAGUUUCUCCACUUCUGAGUGAAUGAGAGUUCUCCUUAUAAAUGGGUCUCACUAAUCUAAUCAGCAGUCAUCAUAUGUGUUGUCCUUUGUUUUGGAAUUAUUUAUGAACAUAUUUAAGUUAGUUUAUUUUUAAAAAAGAAUUUAAAAUGUGUUUAGCUUUUACUAUGUGUUUCAGACCUACUUAAAUGCACUCCUGAAAGACACUGGUGAAUGAGUACUUUUAAACUUUACAGUGACACUUGUAAAACAAAAACAAAACACUUCUGUGAGUUAGCUUUUAUCACUUGUGUUAAUCCCAUAAGCAUUUGUUUACCUGACUGACAAACAAAUAGAAGACUUUAUUUUUAAGGUCUCUAAGGUCAGUACUUUUCACACAUGCUAAUGUAAAACACAGAGACAAAAUAGAUCAUGUUCCCUCCAAGUCUUAUCAGCACAUAAUAGAAAAGCAUGGAGGAAAAGGCAAUGUACAUUUCAAAUGGAUUAUUGAAGUGCUGACAAUUUUAUUCUCACAUUAGUGUGGCUUGUUUAUUUGCAAUCCUAGAAUAAAAUUCAUCCAUGUCUGUAUUAUACAUUCUUCAUAGUGUAGUUUUGUAUUUUACCACUCUUGAAAGCCUUGAUGAUUGACUAAAAAUUAUUACAAGUAACAUACAGAGGAUGACAGUCAUCCCCGUUUUCAGUACCUCACUUCAGUCCUGAAGGAAUUUACAAUGAUGCUGUUGAAUAUAACCAGACUACUCUUCCCACUCAGUAUUAGAGACAAUAAAAUAUUCUGCUUCAAAUUAACAUCCUAUUUUACUUCCCUGUGAUUUAAGAAUUUAUGUUAACACUACAAAGAUAAGCAGAGAUGAACAUUUAAAUUAGAUUGGUUCAUAUCCUAACAAAGGUUCAUCAGUAGAAAAUAGUUUCUUGAAAAGCAUGCAUUAUGUUGUAAUGUUCAUAGAAAUGCUUUUCACUGUCUGAGUAUUGCUCAAAAUCACUGGAUGGAUCCGCAUUUGGCUUCUGUUUUAUUGCAAAUAAGAUGUAAUAAAACCCUAACUGGUGAUCAAAGCUCCUGACCAUUAUAUAAUGUGAAUGUCUCAAAAGAGAUCUUAUUCAGAAAUGGCUAACUAGACAUUUGGCCAAAACGUCAUUAAUAUUUUUUGUCAAACCUAAUGUGAGGAACAUAUCAUGUACUGUGAAUUACAAUGUUUCUAUUAAUAAAGGAAAUGAUUUAUUAUUA